AUACUCACUUAAGCUGGCAGGGAAGAUAGUUUUCCCAGAGUGAGGCUUAUGCAUUGCACUCUGAAUGUGCCGAUCCCUGAGAUUUCCCCAAAUGUGGGAAACUUGGCAGUAUAAUUUGUGGUAGUGAGGGACUGUGUUUUCACUUUCCUCUG
ensembl:snRNA U1 U1 spliceosomal RNA